UUUUCAUUUGAUCCUACCCACGGGGUGGAAUGACUAAUCCAAGACCGCACAGACAGAGAAAAUGGCACAGCGGAGCCGGAUUCCGACCCCAGUGAGGCCUUGGUCAGUGUUCCGUUUGAAAUGGAGAAAUCUAGGAAGCACUUCUUGGGAGGAGACGCCUGCAAGUGUUCUUACUCCUAUCGGGUUCCAUCAGUUAUUGAACGUCCACAGUGUGCGUUGCCAGGGAGAAGAGGAAGGACGACAGACACAUCGCCUGCUGCUGGGAAUCAAUGCGGGACUGGUUGACAGCUCAGGACCCAAUCAGAGUCACUUCCGUGGCCCACCCCAGGCUUGAUGGAGGCUGGCUAAUUACAGGGGACUCUGUUGAAUGGAGAGGUUGCAGAGGCUCUGAAGGAGGGUAGAGUCACAAGGCCACAGGGCAGGUUGUCCACCCACCAGCCACACCCACACAGACUUUAGACCUCAAUCAUCUUGAAAUUCAUUCAGAUAACAUGGUCUGCCCAAGUGGAGAUAUUUGCCUUUGCAAUUAGAUGUGCCCAGGGAACUAUGUCUAAAUCAACAGGAGACCAAGAGUUGGAGAAGCUGAAGGAAAAGACCUAGCAGGAGCUGAGGAGGUAUGGCUUCAACUGAUGCCCCAGGAGCUGCACUCGCUGGGCCAGGAUUCACAGAAGGUCGAGGAGAAAAUGGAGUUGCUGUGGACUCACCUGCUGCCACAUGUCAACAUGAUGAGCCAGCAGCAUGUGAAUGACAGUUCAAGUCAUGCGCGGUCUCCAUCACUUUACUGGCCAUCAGCCCUUUCUCAGGAAGCUUCUGGAGGAUAUGCUCCACCAAACUGAGGUUGUAAACCAAGACAUGGGAGGAAGACAUGGGAGACAGGAAACAGAAGACUCAACAAAGGAGAGAGGAGGAGCCCUGUGACAACCAUGUACCCAGAACUGAGGUGCUGAGGGCAAUCUGGAACAGGUCAGAUGGACCCAGUAGGGAUUUAUUCAGUAAGAUGACAUUGAGAGUCUCUCUGUGCAUUCAUAAACAUGGAAAAGAGGAGAGUGUUGAGUUGAUUAGUGGUAACAAUGUUAAUCACAAGAAAGCAAAAUGUUAAUGUCAGACAAAAC